UGAAUAUUACAUGUGUUACUUGUUACGCGAUUGGAUUUUCGACGCUGACAGUCCCUGUGCAGUCGAUUAUCUUUCAGUAUGGUAUACACGUGUUACACUAGACGUUAUCGGGAUCAACGCUGACAGUCACUGUGCUGUUGAUUUCGGAACCCAGGGCCCACUGCACCAGCGUAAGGUCUGACAGUCACUCUGAGGAUUUCAUCCUGGUACCUCACAGCAGUCAGGGUACCCUUGGCUAUGACGUGGAAGUCUGUGUGGCCCUCCAAGGAUAUGCUUUUCCAGAUGAUCACUGACCACCAAACCAGUCAUGCUCGAUGAUGUUACAGGUCCUCCUGUUACCUGCCAUCACCAGUCACCUACCUGCACAUCCUGAUCCUCUGGUCCUCCUGUUACCUGCCAUCCUCCUGCCAACUCACCUGCCUGCCGUGGUCCUCUGUCCAUCCUCAUCUCUGCUGCUUCCCCAGUCCUCCUGGUUCCUUGCCCCAGUCCUCCUGGUUCUUGCUUGACCUAACCUGCGUUACCUGGUGUUCUUCCUGCCAGCCCCGUGCCUGCUCGACCUCCUGCCAC